GCUAUGCAACAGAAGCCAUCUGUGAGGUGGGGCACUGAUGAGGUUCAGGGAAGGGUGGAUUGUGCCAAGCAGAGGCAGGGGAGAGGAAGAAGGGCUGCUGGAAAGAAAUGAACAGCAAAGGCCACCAGUAGUCCCACGUGCGGGCCAGGAGCCAGGAGUCCUGGACCCAGGGAAGUUUCUACACUGUGUGUCGUCCAGUCUGUUGUCUUCUCAUUUCUGGCUGCUGGUUCCUGCUGGGGAUGGCUGCGCCCUUGACUGAUUGCACUGCAUUUUCCUUUUCCACUCUCUCAUAUGGGCCUGGGUCCCAGGGAUUCCUCCAAGUGCACAGUAUCUCCACUAGAGAAAUAAGGAAAGGAAGGUCAAGCAGGAUCAGUGACAUAUCUGGGUCACACAGUUUCUUGUUACUUGACCCAGAGCCAGAAGAAGAUCGCCAGGGUCUCAGGCCCAGGUAGGGGGUCUCCACUUCCUACCUCUGAGAUGAUCUGGUCAAUGACAUGUCCUGCAGUGCACAAGCAUCCUGAUGUCCCCUGCAUGCUUACUGUUGCUGGAAAGCUGUUAACAGGUUUCCUCAACAGAGGCAAGACCUGCCUCUCCAUGGCCCUGCCUGUCUUCCCAGAGCCACACAGUGGACCUUCAGUAGCCCAGAUCCCUGUCUCCAUCAGGCCCUCAGCAGAUUUAGGCAGGAUGAGAAGCAGCGAUCCCAGAUUGACACAACCCUUUCCUGUGGCAUAGGCACUUUGAGAAAGAUUUGCAAGGUCGCCCAAGGAAACAAACUCUGACCCAAGUGUGUUGGCCAUGUCAGGCUUCUCUACAUAUGGACAGCACAUUCCUCCUAUCCCUGUCUGGCUCCUGGUGCCUUCAUACCCAUGUAAUGCACCUACCUGCAUGCCCAUGACCUGGGAUCCUCAAGGGUUGUGCUUCCCCCACCCCGAGAGUGGAGGAGACCCAAGCCAGAAGCCUGGUGCCCAAGGCCCUCCUGGUCUUCUUCUACUUGUGACCCUGCCUGGUACAUGGAAGCUCAGUGAUUGCCAGGUAAAGGAAUCAAUGCCUAAACUGGUGAAUGAGUGACGAGAGAGUAGAAGGAGACCUCCACACUCCAAAACCAAUCCAUUUGGUAAAUACUCUAUAGAUUGGGCCUUGAUCUGAUCCCAGGAAAGUCCAGGCUCAGAGCUCUUCCCUGCAUGCAGAGCCUGAAAAUGUCCCAUGGAAUGGCAGGAGUGGCUGGGCAUCUCUGUCUUCACAGGUGAUGCCUGAGUUUCUGGAAGAUCUCCACCCAUUCUCCAGAGAGAUGUGAAUACUCAUCUUCCUAUGAGGCUAUUCCUCUGCCCCAUUAUUCCUAUCCUAUGAAGAAUCAUAUCCUCCAUCCUUCUGGACUGGAGAAAUGAUUUGUGAGCAAAGCUCCCUCUUCUCCAUUCUUUGGCCACAGAAUAAAGUUGUUCCUUCCUCAAA